AUUUUCACUUCUAUUUUGAUAUCAUCCCUGUUUCUUGGUUCUUUAAUCUGAAAGUGCAUUUUUGCUCUGUAAAUUUCUCAGAUUUUAUAUUUGCGAUUUCUUUUCACCUCUUCGGCUCUUCUAUGCCUGUGAUUUUACGGGCACCGCUCCAGUCUUUUUGAGAUGAGAUAUUUCAUGGAGCAGUGGUGAUUGGUGUGAGUUGGAGUUAAUUAAUUAGCAUGAGCUUAAUUAAGAGUCGCAGGUGUAUAUGUUUUCUUCUAAUUUUAUGCAGCUACCAGUGUGUUACUCAUUGUUGCUAUAUUUUGUCAUUGUCCAUCUUUUAUUUGGGAUUUAUUGUUCCCAAUUAAUAUGUGCCCAAUUUUCGGACUUACCCCAUAUGUCCCUAUAGAUGAAAUUGAAAUUCUGAGAAAGGAUGGUACUAGGCAUAAGAUUGAUUGGUUA